rnacentral:rRNA from 1 species
GUGGGGAAUUUUGGACAAUGGGCGCAAGCCUGAACCAGCCAUGCCGCGUGCAGGAAGACGGUCCUAUGGAUUGUAAACUGCUUUUAUUGGGGAAUAAACCUUUCUACGUGUAGGAAGCUGAAGGUACCCAAAGAAUAAGCACCGGCUAACUCCGUGCCAGCAGCCGCGGUAAUACGGAGGGUGCAAGCGUUAUCCGGAAUCAUUGGGUUUAAAGGGUCCGCAGGCGGGCUAUCAAGUCAGAGGUGAAAUCCCACAGCUUAACUGUGGAACUGCCUUUGAAACUGAUGGUCUUGAAUUAAGUGGGCGUUGGCGGAAUAUGACAUGUAGCGGUGAAAUGCAUAGAUAUGUCAUGGAACACCGAAAGCGAAGGCAGCUAACGAUACUUAUAUUGACGCUCAUGGACGAAAGCGUGGGUAGCGAACAGGAUUAGAAACCCGAGUAGUCC